GUUCGCGCUCGGACCGGACUUUCAGGACUGCAGGGGAAAAGGGUGGACACCCAGCCUCCCGCCAGCAUCUGGAACGAGCUAAGACAGCUGCUAAGUAGCAUUCCAUUUGACAAGGAAGACUUACCAUUCACACUACUUCUGAGUUCAAUGAAAGAGAGGCUCGAUUUCUUUUCCUGCCUGCACUUUCUUUGAGGUUGCAGUAGAGAGUGUGUGUCUACAGAAGCAAUAGAAAACUUAUACAGUACUUUCUAUGGUCAGUUGUGAUCAUAAAAAGAGAGUAAGAAGAAAAACAACUCUGAAAGACAAGAUUUGGUUUCUGUCUUUCAUUGUACACAUAAAAUAAGACUUGACCAUCUGGAAAAAGGAAGCCUGAGAAUGAAUAUAUAAGAAGAGGACAUAAAAUGGUGGAAAGAGAAAGCAUGGUUUUAGCAGCCAAAUUCUGAAAUAAGGCUAAACCUACAUGGAGGCAUUUCUUCAGCUUGAAGGAAGGAAUUUAACCCAAAGACAUUGGAAAAUGACUUGACAGAGUCACACAGGAAAUUGUUGUAGGAAUUAGAACUAGAAAUCUGGUCUCCUGAUGAUCAUUUCUAGGAAUGGCUACUAAAAUAUCAAAGAAAAAGAUUUCAAUCAUCUUAAAGCAAACAGUCUCAUACUGGAGUGGUGAGGAUGGUAAAUUUUAAAGAAAACAGGCCCUCUUUGAUGUAACACUGGUUAACCCAUUAAGCCACAGUCUCUACUAUUACAGCUUUUGGAUGUGACCAAAUCUCUCCAAAUUGAAGUAACAAGCAAGGCCAAAGCAGCCACUCUCUUUUUGGGUGGAUUUGUCUCCCCUACACACCAUUCUUUCCCAUAUACUAGAUGUUUAGUAACUUUUGUCUCAGAUAGACUGAAGACACUAAAAGCUGCUAUUGUUCAUUAAAAAGCAAGGCCAAAGACAUGCUGGGCUAAUAUGGUACACUAAAGUUGGUAAUUUGAUUUGUUUGGACUGAUUGCCUACAACUCUCUGAUUAAAUAUUAAAAUACAAAAAUUACAGGAUAUAAUUAUAUCUGGGGGAAAUAAUGUAAUGCCUGCAAAACCCAAGCCAUAUCCUAUUACUCUUCCCUAUGAAGGGCCUGGAUGUCAUUCAAUUUUUCCAAAGUAAAGCAAGGUGCAAGGUCAAAAUAGACCCACAAUGUAAUCUGUCCUCUCUCAGAAUGUAAUAACGUUACUUUCUUACUGGCUUUGUUAGUUACAGGCUAACGUCAACCACAGUCUUAACAACCUGACAGAACAGGUUCAGAGACCUGGGAGCCUGAAGGGAAAAUGAAAAUAACAAAAACAAAAAACAAGAAAGGUGCUGGCUGAACAAUGGCUAAAAUGAAAAUAGCACACAAAGUUAAAAAUUGAAAAACCUAAGAGAGAGAGAGAUAGUAUAUGUGUACGUAUAUGUACGUAUAUGUAUAUUUACUUCCCUUAGGUUAGGAUAUAGAAGGUCCUCAAGCCUGCUUUUAUUUAACUUUGCUGAAAGUUUUUCAGUAGUUUUCCAUCUUUAUGUUCCGACCACAUAAGAAAAUGUCCAAAUAAACCAUCAGAAAGAUUUACAUGUUUUAUAACAAGGAGCCACUUAACUAAACAGACCCAGAAAUUCUCAAUGCCAUUUAGGUAGAUUUCAUCUAUUCACUUGCAUAAAACAUCUGGUGCUCACCAAUUGUGUAGAACCUCUUCAGUUCGCUCCUUCUGGAAGGAUGUUUCUGAGUAUUUGCUGCAUUGUUCUGCUCUUCUUCAAUGAUGGGGGUCUUGGGUGCCGGGGGCUUACUGGCUUGUGGUGUUUGCUUUCCUGCACCAGCCAAAGGGUUGAACCCUGGAGCAUUAAUAUCCACCGACUGGGACUUUUUCUUCAGCCUACAAGUAAAGAAGACCACAUGCUGUGAAUCCUGAUUCUAGAGACACAUUUGUUCCAUGUUUAUAAUUUUUUUUUCAACAAUUGAGUUACAUUUAACCUUGAGAUAGAACCACAUCUAUUCAGAAAUGAUAGACAUUCCCUACAGUAUUUUAAGAAAAAUUCUACAAAUAUUUUUGAAACUAGAAGGAAAAAUAUCUUCUGCCUAAUCAUUUUGAAAGAUUGCAUUAAAAUAUAAGGUGAUAAAGAGCUUUUAUUUUUUCAAUAACCAAUUAAAAUAUAGUGUCAAAGAUAAUGUAUUUGACUAUAGUAUUUAGUUCUGAAAGGAAUUUUUUAAUACAGUGAAACAUUAGUUAAAAAUAAAUGUUAACUCCAAAAAGAAUAAUAAAAUCAUUAUUUUUUAACCA